rnacentral:rRNA from 1 species
AAUCGUUUGGGCCGACCUCA